UACAGAGACCUCAAGCGUUAUCCGGAAUCAUUGGGCGUAAAGCGUACCGAUCGGUGGUUUUACAAGUCAGAAGUGAAAUCUCUCAGCUUAACUGGGAGACUGUCUUUUGAAACUGUAAAACUAGAGGGGCAAAGAGGAAGCUGGAACGAACGGUGUAGUAGUGAAAUGCGUUGAUAUCGUUCGGAACACCAAUAGCGUAGGCAGGCUUCUGGGUGCCACCUGACACUGCUAGGACGAAAGCGUGGGGAGCGAAUGGG
rnacentral:rRNA from 1 species